CCUACGGGUGGCUGCAGUGGGGAAUAUUGCACAAUGGGGGAAACCCUGAUGCAGCGACGCCGCGUGAGUGAAGAAGUAUUUCGGUAUGUAAAGCUCUAUCAGCAGGAACGAGACAAGACGGUACCUGACUAAGAAGCCCCGGCUAACUACGUGCCAGCAGCCGCGGUAAUACGUAGGGGGCAAGCGUUAUCCGGAAUCACUGGGUGUAAAGGGAGCGUAGACGGCUGAGCAAGCCUGAAGUGAAAGGCGGGGGCCCAACCCCCGGACUGCUUUGGGAACUGUACGGCUGGAGUGCAGGAGAGGUAAGUGGAAUUCCUAGUGUAGCGGUGAAAUGCUUAGAGAUCAUACAGAACACCGAUUGCGAAGGAAGCUUACCAAUCUAUAUCUGACGUUGAGGCACGAAAGCGUGGGGAGCAAACAGGAUUAGAUACCCUAGUAGUC
rnacentral:rRNA from 1 species